rnacentral:rRNA from 1 species
AACGAACGCUGGCGGCAGGCUUAACACAUGCAAGUCGAGCGCCCCGCAAGGGGAGCGGCAGACGGGUGAGUAACACGUGGGAAUCUACCCAUCCCUGCGGAACAACUCCGGGAAACUGGAGCUAAUACCGCAUACGCCCUACGGGGGAAAGAUUUAUCGGGGAUGGAUGAGCCCGCGUUGGAUUAGCUAGUUGGUGGGGUAAAGGCCUACCAAGGCGACGAUCCAUAGCUGGUCUGAGAGGAUGAUCAGCCACAUUGGGACUGAGACACGGCCCAAACUCCUACGGGAGGCAGCAGUGGGGAAUAUUGGACAAUGGGCGCAAGCCUGAUCCAGCCAUGCCGCGUGAGUGAUGAAGGCCUUAGGGUUGUAAAGCUCUUUCACCGAUGAAGAUAAUGACGGUAGUCGGAGAAGAAGCCCCGGCUAACUUCGUGCCAGCAGCCGCAGUAACAC